rnacentral:rRNA from 1 species
AUUGAACGCUGGCGGAAUGCUUUACACAUGCAAGUCGAACGGCAGCACGGGGCAACCUGGUGGCGAGUGGCGAACGGGUGAGUAAUACAUCGGAACGUGCCCAAUCGUGGGGGAUAACGUAGCGAAAGUUACGCUAAUACCGCAUACGAUCUACGGAUGAAAGCGGGGGAUCGCAAGACCUCGCGCGAAUGGAGCGGCCGAUGUCAGAUUAGGUAGUUGGUGGGGUAAAGGCUCACCAAGCCAACGUUCUGUAGCUGGUCUGAGAGGACGACCAGCAACACUGUGACUGGGAGACGGCCCAGACUCCUACGGGAGGCAGCAUGGGGGAAUUUUGGACAAUGGGCGCAAGCCUGAUCCAGCCAUUCCGCGUGCAGGAUGAAGGCCUUCGGGUUGUAAACUGCUUUUGUACGGAACGAAACGGUUCUCUCUAAUACAGGGGGCUAAUGACGGUACCGUAAGAAUAAGCACCGGCUAACUACGUGCCAGCCGCCGCAGUAAUAC